CAGUUCCUUUCCAUCACUGUUGGUUCCCUGUGUAUUUUUCUUUAUUGCACUCUGUAUAGCCUUCACUUCUUCUUCUAUUUCGCAUCUGUACUCAAAUCAUUUCUGUGAGCAUGCUGAUUACCAGUGUUUUGAACUCUACCUCUGAUAGGUUGGCUAUCUCCAUGUCACUUAGUUCUUUUUCUGGAGUUUUGACCUGUUCUUUCAUUUGGGCCGUAUUUUUUGUCUGGGUGAGCCUGUCACAUAGUAAAGGACAGAACCUUAGGUGUUCAC